CUAUUUCUUAGGUAAUACCAUCUCCUAAAAAAUUCUUUUUAAAACUUCCAUGAUUCAGAUGGUGCUCUGUUUUCUCAGGGGAUUCUCAACUUUCUUGAAUUCUGAAUUUUUCUUUCUCAUGUUUUAAAAACAUUCUCAACUGAUUUUUUUUAAAAAUAACAUUCCGUUGUUUGAUGUUCUGUGAUUUUAUUUUUCUCUAGAAUUACUUUAUUUUGGUCUUGUUCUUUACUCGGAUUCUUCUUGUCGUAUUUCUGGUUGUUUUUUGUUUUUUUGUUUUUGAGAUGGAGUCUUGCUCUCUUGUCCAGGCUGGAGUGCAGUGGCGCUAUCUCGGCUCACUGCAACCUCCGCCUCCCAGGUCCAAGCAGCCCUUCUGCCUCAGCCUCCAGAGGAACUGGGACUAUAGGCACGUGCCACCACGCCUGUCUGAUUUUUUGUAUUUUUAGCAGAGACGGGGUUUCACCUUGUUAGCCAGGAUGGUCUUGAUCUCCUGACCUCGUGAUCUGCCUGCCUUGACCUCCCAAAGUGCUGGGAUUACAGGCAUGAGCCACCACGCCCGACUUGAUUGUUACUAUUAUUUUAAUUUUAUUUUUUUGAGAUGGAGUCUCAUUCUGUCUCCUAAGCUGGAGUGCAAUGGUGUGAUCUGAGCUCACUGCAACCUCCACCUCCCGGGUUCAAGCGUUUCUCCUGCCUCAGCCUCCCAAGUAGCUGGGACUAUAAGUGCGUGCCACCAUGCCCGGCUAAUUUUUGUAUUUUUAAUAGAGACGGGGUUUCACCAUGUUGGUCAGGCUGGUCUCGAACUCCUUACCUCAAGUGAUCCACUGGCCUCGGCCUCCCAAAGUGCUGGGAUUACAGACAGGCAUGAGCCACCACACCUGGCCUGUCUAGACGUAUUUUAAUGUGAGAGAAUAGAUAGACUGAUUGGAAAUGUUGUAUAUAGGUAGAGCUUGUUGACUGGUGGUCCUUGCUCAUUCAAUAAAUACUUUAGUAUGUAAUGUGUAUAGGUGUCAGAUAAUUCGCUUUAUGAUAACUGGAUGGGGAAUUUUUGGAAGGGAAGGCAACCAUUCCUAAAAUUCCAGAAUGAAAAGGAUGUUAUACUUAUUUUGACAGGUAGUUUAUUCAUUUUCCUUAAAAAGGAAUCUUUCUUGUUGUCCCAUUUUCAGCUCUUUUUCUCACUUUUGUUUUUCUUCUCCUUCCUGUCUCCCCUUCUCCUUUUUCUUUUUCCCUCCCCCCCCCCUUUUUUUUUUUUUUACUGCUCCUUGCAGAGCAGGGCUACACCCAUAGGCAGUGUGACCAAAGUAACCCCUUCUUCUCAUUUCUGUCCGGAUUUUUUCUCACUUUUCCAGGCAGUUAGACUCUCCUGUUGUUUAUGUAGUUGGGCUAUAAUCCCUUCUUUUGCAUAUUGUAGGCUGUGAACUUUUUCUGCUGUAUUUUAUCUUAUUUUGAGCUUCCCUGAGACUUAGUGAAACAUCUGGUCCAUUUAUAGCCUCUCUCUCAUUUUUCCUACUGUUAGAGAUUUAUUCUCUGUUAAAAUACCUAGCCGAGUGCUCUGGUUGUGUCAGGAGGAUUGCUUGAUCCCAGGAGUUCCGGGCUGCUGUGCACUAUGCCGAUUAAGUGUCUGCAUCAAGUUCAGCAUCAGUAUGGUGACCUCCAGGUUGCCUGACGACUGGUGAACCAGCCUAGGAUGGAAAUGGGCAGGUCAAAACUCCUAUGCUGAUAGUGGUGGGAUUGCACCUGUGAAUAGCCACUGUACUCCAGCCUGGGCAGCAGUGAGACCCUGUCUCUUAAAAAAUAAUAGUAAAUUAAAAUGCUUUUAUCGUCAUUUUAGCAGAUAAGUCCUGUGCUUCAUCUGGCCCUUUGAAUCUAAAAGUAUUUUAGUAUGAUUUUAUUUUGUUUUAUUUUAUUUUAUUUAUUUUGAGACAGAGUCUUACUGUGUCAUUCAGGCUGGAGCGCAUUGGCGCAGUCUCGGCUCACUGCAACUUCCACCUCCCAGGUUCACGCGAUUCUUGUGCCUCAACCUCCAGAAUAGCUGGGAUUACAGGCGUGCACCACCACGAUCAGAUAAUUUUUGUAUUUUUAGUAGAGAUCAGGUUUCACCAUGUUGGCGAGGCUGGUCUUGAACUCCUGAUCUCAAGUGAUCAGUCUGUGUCAGCCUCCCCAAGUGCUGGGAUUACAGACACGAGCCACUCUGCCCAUCUAUGAUUUUAUUUUUAAUUAAAAUUAAUCUGGAUUGUUAAUUAAGAGAUAUCAGUAUACUCUUAGGGAUUGUGGAAGACAGUGAGCUUAUUUAAUAGUCAGCAGGUCUCUUGAAAGUAAAUGAUAUCUUAGGGCUGGGCGUGGUGGGUCACGCCUGUAAUCCCAGCACUUUGGGAGGCCACGCGGGUGGAUCACCUGAAGUCAGGAGUUCCAGACCAGCCUGGCCAACAUGGUGAAACCCUGUCUCUACUAAAAAUACAAAAAUUAGCUGGGUGUGGUGGCGUGCGCCUGUAAUCCCAGAUACUUGGAGGCUAAGGAGAAUCGUUUGAACAAGGAGGCGGAAGUUAACAGUGAGCAGAGAUCACUCCACUGCACUCCAGCCUGGGCGACAGAGCGAGACUCCGUCUCAAAAAAAAAAAAAAAAAAAAGUAAAUGAUGUCUUAGAAACAAGCCUUAAAAGAUCUUAAUCUUACUCUUGCUAAAUGUAGUAUAAGUCUAAGCCAGCCUCAGCUCUUGGCCUGAGAUUACUAGUCUCCUUGUUUCUAUUCUACAUGUAUUCUCUACACAGCAGUGAGGGUAAUCAUUGCAAGUAAAAUAUUGUCUUACUUAUUUGCUUAAAUCUCUCCCAUAGUUUCCCUUUACACUUAGAGUAAAAUCCAGACCCUUUCUCCUGAUCUGUAAGAUUGUAUGCAGUCUCUUGCCUCCCUAGUUCUUCACCCAUGUUACCUACUGGUAUCCUACUUGUCUCCUGAUUUAGCUACACCAGCAUCCUUGAUAAAUUAUUCAAAAAGCCAAGCUCAUUCCUCAUGGCCUUUUAGAAUUGGAUUAUAAAGAGGGUGAACUGCUUAUCCCUUCUUAUCAUUCAGUGCUGCUCAAAAGUUAUCUUCUCAGGGAAGAUUUUCCUCACCAUUUUAUCUAAACUAUGGUCUUUCUCUCCCAAAUCACUGCCUAUCCUGUAUGCUGCUUUUAAUUUCUUCUUAGCAUAUAUCUGAAAUUAUAUUAUGUAUUUGCUAAUGGUCUUUUCCCUAUUAGAAUGUAAGCUCUAUGAGGGCAAGGACUCUUGUCUUGUUUACUGCUGUAUUCUUCUAGCAUAAACACACACACCCCCUUAGAACAAUUCUGGAUACACAAUAGAAAUUCAGCAAAUGUUUGGGUGAAUGAAAUGGCCCUAAAAUACUAUUUUAAAACUUGUUUUCUUUCCAGGUUAUAUUUUCUUAUUUAAUGUGUGUAAAAAUGUGGUGGUAUGAAGUUUUUUGGUUUUAAAACCUUCAAUAGUGAGUUUUUGUGGGCACAUUGUAUUCAUAAGAGCUGUUAAUUCUAGCCAUAACUUUAAAUAAAUGUAUUGGUUGCUUGUGUACAUGACUAUCUGUAAGUAAAAUGAAGGUCUCUUAGAAGUUAAUACAGUUUAACCUUAAAAUCUGUUCUAAAAUUAUUUGACAUUUUUCUCACUGAAUAAGAAUGAGAAGGAGGAAGCAUAGUGUAGAAAAGUAGCGUGCAGGGUAGAGUGGUACUGGAUUGUAAUUAUGUAAGUUAAGGAAAUAACAUGCUUUGCCUAUUCCUUGUCACCCUUUUUUUCUGCCUUAUAGACAAGGGAAAAAAAAGAUUGAAUAAAAGAGUUUUAAUUUU
rnacentral:lncRNA from 1 species